AUGGCAUCAGUUGGUGAGCUGCUCACAAUAUAUGGUUGUGUAUGGUUGAAGCUCGAAGCGUACAGGGCUGCAAACACUCGUGAGCUUAUUCUGGAUCUGAUUUCACUUUCUUUUGGUGUUUUCCCUUGCAUGACUGGAUUUUGGAUAAUUGGUGCAAGAGCUGAGUUUGGUAUGAGGAACUUGCAGGUUUUUCAGGACCAGUUUUUUUACUCAAUACUGAGGUUUGAUUUCUGGUCUUCACCAACAAACAGCAGGAAGCCUAAGCUUUUAGUUAGUCUUGAUCUGUUAUGA